GACGAACGCUGGCGGCGUGCUUAACACAUGCAAGUCGAACGGAAAGGUCCCCAUCUUGGUGGGCGUGCGCUAGCGGCGAACGGGUGAGUAACACGUGGGUGAUCUGCCUUUUACUCUGGGAUAAGUUCGGGAAACCGGGUCUAAUACCGGAUAGGAUCAUGGUCUAGAGGCUCAUGUAGGAAAGAUUAGUUUUGUUGUGCAUGAUGAGCUCGCUCCCUAUCAGCUUGUUGGUUGGGAAAUUGCCGACCAAGGCAGGCAUGGGUAGCCGGCCGGCGUGGGAGGGUGGCCGCCCACGUUCGGACUGAGGUCCGGCCCACCCUCGGACGGGAGCCGGCGGUGGGGUAUCGUGAUCAAUGGGCGCCAGACUGAUGCAGCGCCGCCGCGUGGGGAAUGACGGCCUUCGGGUUGUAAAUUCCUUUCGUUAGGGACGAAGCCGCACUUUUCUUGGGUGUGGUGACGGUCCCUUUGUCAAGAAGCACCGGCUAACUACGUG
rnacentral:rRNA from 1 species